UACGGAGGGUGCGAGCGUUGUCCGGAAUCACUGGGCGUAAAGGGCGCGUAGGUGGCCGAGCAAGGUCGCGGUGAAAGCCCGGGGCUCAACCCCGGGUCGGCCGUGGCAACUACUUGGCUUGAGCACUGUAGGGGCGGGUGGAAUUCCGGGUGUAGCGGUGGAAUGCGUAGAUAUUCGGAGGAACACCAGUGGCGAAGGCGGCUCACUGGCUCGGUACUGACGCUGAGGUGCGAAAGCGUGGGGAGCAAACAGG
rnacentral:rRNA from 1 species